AGCUCCAGCAGCGUAUAUUAAAUUUGCUGCAGUUAAAAAGCUCGUAGUCGGAUUUCUGGCCGGGGCGGGCGGUCCGCCGCGAGGCGAGCACUGCCCGUGUGUCGGUCUUAACGGGCCUGGCACUCUCUCCGGCCAGUUAUUCGGUCGGUCGUGCGGUGCUCUUAACUGAGUGCCGUGCGAGGCUGAAACGUUUACUUUGAGAAAAUUGGAGUGUUCAAAGCAGGCCAAAGUGCCCGAACAGCUCAGCAUAGAAUAGUGGAAAAGGACCUCGGCUCGUUCUAUUUCGUUGGUCUCUGGAACCUGAGGUAAUGAUCAAGAGGGACUGCCGGGGGCAUUCGUAUUGCGGCGUGAGAGGUGAAAUUCUUGGAUCGUCGCAAGACGCCCGACAGCGAAAGCAUUUGCCAAGAAUGUCUUCA
rnacentral:rRNA from 1 species